CUACGGGGGGCUCCAGGUGAGAAUCUUUUGCAAUGCGCGAAAGCGUGACAAAGCGAACCAGAGUGCUUCCUUCGGGAAGCUUUUGUUUUGUGUAAAAAGCAUGACGAAUAAGGACUGGGCAAGACCGGUGCCAGCCGCCGCGGUAAUACCGGCGGUCCAAGUAGCAAUCACUUUUAUUGGGUCUAAAACAUCCGUAGCUGGUUAAGCAAGUUCCUUGUGAAAUCUCUUCUCUCAAGGGAGAGGCGCGCUUGGAAAACUGCUUGGCUUGAGACCGGGAGAUGUAAGGAGUACUGUUAUGGUAGUGGUUAAAUAUUUUAAUCAUAGCAGGACUAACAAUGGCGAAGGCACCUUACAAGAACGGUUCUGACGGUGAGGGAUGAAGGCCAGGGGCGCAAAACGGAUUAGAUACCCCUGUAGUC
rnacentral:rRNA from 1 species